CCUUGAUAUUUAUAGCGCAGUAGACCCACUCCAAUUCCAUCCCGAACUUGGCAGUUAAAUACUGUAGCGACGAUGAUACUUAAGAGGACACUCUUUGGGAAAGUAGUUCAAUAUCAGGG
rnacentral:rRNA from 1 species